CCCCCCCAACCGUCGCCUCCCGCCUGGAGCUCCGGGGCUCCGAAAACACCUCCCCUCCGCUCGUCCCGACCCCGUCCCCGCACGCUCCCACUCGCCGCCGCCGCCGCCUCUCCCAGCCCCGGGGACGGCGGCCCCGCCCGCUCGGAGCCUGCAGCCCGCGGCCGCCCGCCGUCACUCUUCACGUUACCAUCUCGGACCGUGCUGAAGCUCCGACGAGCGAGGAAGAGACGAGGCCAGGCGGACGCUCAGCGAGAUCCCAGCGCCCACUCCUCCGUCGGACCGCGAUUCAAACUGCGCCGUCUCCCGCCUUCCUCGCGCCCUUUAUACUGCAGAAUGUUCCCUCAUCCGGGAACUCGGCCGGUUCGGCCCACCAAUGGUUGCCUCCCGCCCUCGGGACGCGUCCUUGAGGCUCCAGCCAAUGGGAGAACGCACAGCGGAGUGGCGGGGCGGGCGCUCGGGAGCUCGAGCGAUGAUUGGCGCGUGGGGGAUGAGUUAGGGGGGGAGGAGAUGCGGCGGGACGAGGACCGGGAGAAGAAGGGGCGCCGCGGCGGGAGGGCAGCAACAGAGCGCUGCGCCACCGAGCGAGUGGACGGUGGUGUCACGUGCCUGGAGGGAGGAGCUGGAAGGCUGGGGAGGAGCGCGCGCUGGCGUCCUCCCCGCUGCAGCCUCCCCCCCUCCACUCCCCCGCGGUGCUCCGGAGACCACGUGAGCUUCCCUCCCGGUCUAGCCUGGCCCCCUCGCUGACAACCGGCGCCUCUCGGUUGCCCUCUGGCCUGGCCUUUCGUGUCCGCAGAUCUCGGUUUCCUUCAGAGUCCUGCCUUCUGACAGGUGGCUCGAAGGCGUCCGGCAAGAAGAGCUCAGCUCGGCCUCUACUUGGUGAACCACUUCCCUGAUAAAAGUGUCACCUACCCCACCCCCGGAAGCUUGGGAUGAAGCGGUUUUUUAUAAUGAAGUCACCGGCCAUAUUUUUGCGAAGACUUCGCAUCAAUGGGAUGCACCUAUAGCCUAGUGUCUAAAGUUGAUUUGUUGAAACAUUAAAGCUAUUAUGUGUCAGCUUUCCUACACUAAAACAUUUUGCCACAUGACAAAUGUUGGUAAAUGUCAGUGGGGUAACUGUAACAUGAUUCACAAGCAGUUACAGAUGGUUCAUGUAAUCAGUUACAAAUGCUGGGCUUAAAAAAAAAAAUAGACUUGUACACACGGUACUGUCCUGAUGCCAGCCACUUAGACGUGCAGUUAGUAGAUCUACAGCACCUGCAUUUAUCACUCGCUGCUUGGAGACCAUAAUUAUCUGAGUCUUGCGAAUUUCGCAUUUAUAUUAAUACGUAGCACUUUUCAAUUAAACAUGAUUGUGUGGCCAUGUGGGUGGGCGCGGGUGCUCACCUCAUUACUAUAGUUGUGGAAAUCGGAUGACAACUUGAGUGAGUGCUCUCUUUCCAGGGUUCCAGAGAUAAACUCAGGUAUCAGGUAGUCAACUCUCACACAGCUAGCACCCGUCGAGUUAUAUCACCGGUUUAUACUUUUUACAUAAUUGAAUAGUAAUAUGAAGAGAAUAUUGAAGCGUAAACUCCACAUUAUUAGUACUUAAGUUUGGGAGAUUUUAUGAAAUUAGAGGAACUCUCUGAUACCAGGACAUUAAUGCUAGAGGAGAGACUCCAAACAAUAUUGAUUCCGAGGCUUAUUGGAACUAAGGAAUUGUAAUGAUGUCAUCACAUGCCGAAAACAACUGAGGCUCCUGACAUCCCAGCACCUAGAAGGCUGCAUCAGAAGAGUCAUAAGCAGAAUGCUAGUCAACUCUACAACGAUGGCAUUUCAGACACCUAAGGACUGGCCUGCUGUGAUGGUGGCAACCUACAUCCUUAAUACCAGCCCUUGAGAGGCAGAGGCAGGCAGAUCUUUGUGACUUCAAGGCCCACACGGUCUACACAGUGAGUUCCAAGCCAUCUACAGCUACAGACUGAGGCCCUGUCUUCAAAAAAAAAAACCAAGUAUAAAGCCAAGCCCAGUAGGCUAUCCCUGGCUUCUGAUGGGAUUUCUUGAUAUUUACCUCAUAACAUACGUCCAUUCUCUAGAGAAUUCUGUGUGAGCUUUUUCCCAUGGAAUCCAACUAAAAGGUUGACUUUUCUUCACUGAAGAGUGGUAGCAAGAAUAAACUAGCAAGUACAUGUGAGUUCUGUGGCGCCUC
rnacentral:lncRNA from 1 species